GAACGCGAAGAACCUUACCAGGUCUUGACAUCCUGUGCUACACCUAGAGAUAGGUGGCUCCCUUCGGGGACGCAGAGACAGGUGGUGCAUGGCUGUCGUCAGCUCGUGUCGUGAGAUGUUGGGUUAAGUCCCGCAACGAGCGCAACCCUUGUCUUUAGUUGCCAUCAUUAAGUUGGGCACUUCUAAAGAGACUGCCGGUGACAAACCGGAGGAAGGUGGGGAUGACGUCAAGUCAUCAUGCCCCUUAUGACCUGGGCUACACACGUGCUACAAUGGGCAGUACAACGAGAAGCGAACCCGCGAGGGUAAGCGGAUCUCUUAAAGCUGUUCUCAGUUCGGACUGCAGGCUGCAACUCGCCUGCACGAAGCUGGAAUCGCUAGUAAUCGCGGAUCAGCACGCCGCGGUGAAUACGUUCCCGGGUCUUGUACACACC
rnacentral:rRNA from 1 species